GUGGUUUUUGUGAUUUCAUUAUUGAGCUGAUUUAUCUUUGCAUGUUUUUCUUCAGUGUUUUGGGAGCAGAUCCAAAUCCACACAUUCUUAUAUAGCAAAGCCAGAUAUUUCACAGCAUUUACAAGAGAGCAAGGGAGCACAUGCUCCAAAAUAUGGACUACUUGUUUCUUCUAGUUGUCAUUUACUGGACAGACCACUUUUGGUUAAGUGAUGUCAGAUGGCCUCAUGGAAUGGGAUUGUUGUGAAGCACAAGAUUAUAGCUUAUCAUCUGCACUGAGGAAGAUUUGAACAUUAAUUUUUACUUGAGAUGUGGUCGCUUUUCAAAGAAACACAAAUAAUGCAAGCUUGCUCCAUUUAGACUUAUCAAAGAGUGGACUGGAAAGCUUACAGGAGGAGCCAAGUUUCUGAUUUCUCUGGACUCCCUCACUGGAUUUCCUUAUCAACGUGGUGAGAUUGGUGAUGUCACUGAAGCAGCCGAAGUACCAGUAGGAUGGAGUAGGCACAUCAGCCAACACAGAGCAAGCAACUGCUUCUCCAUGCCUACCACUGAUUUCUCAACCUUGAUUAUAAAACCCUCUUUUCUACCUGGUUGCAAGAAGAGAAGAAAAUGUCUGCUUCUCUGGGAAAACAGCUCUAGAAAACAACUUCUUUUGUUUUGUGGGGAGGGAAUGGAAAGAAAUAACUUCAACUUUUUAACUUUGUGCUCAUGCCUUUUAUAGCUUAAAUUUUCUUUUGGAUGUUUUUCAAUCACAC
rnacentral:lncRNA from 1 species